UUACAAUACUCUAAAUAUAAUUAUAAAUCAAACCGGAUUACAUAUUGGGUCAUAUAUCAGUUCAACCGAUAACCAGAUCUUGGGUUUUAACGGUUGUUACGGGUUUUAUAGAAUUUUUAAAUAACCCUUUUUUUUUUUGAAAACUAAAAUGGAUUACAUAUGAACCACCGAAUUUGGCAAUUUAACUGCGGGUCGGGUCGGAUUUCAAAACAUUGAAUAUAAUUUUUUAUUUGUAAUAUCUAAGUGUAGAUACAAUUAAAAUACAAAUUUAUAUCAAAUAAAUUUGAAAUGUUUCGAAAAUAAUCCCGCGCUUUGAAAGCGCGGGUCAAAAUCUAGUAAAAUAUUAAUGUGUAAAACACAAGCCUAUUUGAUUUUAGGACAGAAUCUGAGUAGUGAUACAAUUAUUUAUGGACACUAGCUAUAUUUAACAUCAAGCUCUUUUCACUCCAGUAAGGGUGGAGUGAAUAAUGCAAUAUUUUGAAACCCCGAUUCGGACAUAGAACCGGACGAUUUAUCGGAUCACCAGGUUAUUGGGUUGAAGGCGGAUUAGUAAAAAAAAUAAUUUUAUUAUAUAAUAAUAUAUUAGCUAUGAAAAUAAAAAUAUAAAAAAUAAAAUAACUAUUUUCUAAAUAUUUUAAAACAUAAAAUAAUAAUUUGGAUAUGUAUAUAAUUUAUGUUUCAAAAACAUUUGGAUAAUACUUAACUUUAGUUCCUAUAUUUUAUUUUUGUUUCACAUACAAAAUAUCAGAAAAGAUAGUUUAGAUUCAUUUUCUUAACAAGUUAAGAGUUAUGGCAUCUAACAAAAAUAUCAAGAUUUAAAAUUCAUAAAUAUUUAAAUGUUUAGUAUGCAUAAUAAAAUUAAACUUCAAAUCUAAAUAAACCAAAACUAAAACAUCAUUGUAACAAAUUGUCGAUAACAAAAAUAAAACUAAAACCUAGCAUAAAUUUAGAAUACAAAAAAAAAUUCUAAAUGCAUAGUUAAAAACUUAAAAAAAAAUAGAAAUUAUCAAUUGGUUCAACCAGUGAUUUAACUGGUAACUGAAUUUUUGAUUUUAGUGAGUUUUUGCAGGUUUUAUUGGGUUUUUAAAUAUUAGAUUUUUUGCAAAACCCAAACCGAAUUUAUUUUGUGUCAUCGAAUUUACCGGUUCAACCGCGGAUCCGGAUCGGGUUUCAAAACACUGAGUGAAUGUGUAAUAUAGGUUAAGUUUAGUUGUUUUUCUUGUAGAGUACGCACUCAUCUACAUAAUCUUAUAUCCCGAUAACUUGCAGCGGUAGUUUGCCUGAAUGGAAAUGUAACAUAGUCCCUUAUAUAUGUUCCAAUAAUUUGCAUUCCAUUAACUUUUUACUACUUUGUUGUUAUUUAUAGUCUGGUUUUGAUGUUCAUAUAUAGAUCCAAUACUUUGCAUUCCGAUCACUUUUUACGACUUUGAUGUAAUUUAUUCAUCAGUUGCCAAUCUCACAAUUACCUCAAGCAUUGAUUUUUUAUAUAGUAUCUAGUAUAUCUAGUUCAAGAAAUUAUUUUUUUGUUGUUGUAUUUGAUGUUUUUUUCAUCUUCUGUUACAAAAGAAAAUCAGUGAAUAAAAUUGUAAACUGAACAUAUUCAGCAUAUAAUUUUAAUUUGGUCAAAACUUAUUCGGAAAUAAGUUAUAACAACAGUAAUAUACUAAGUUUUAAGAAUUUUGAUAAUUUUAGAUCUCAAAAUUUAAAUACAUAUAUUUUUUUAGCAGGCAACUUAUAAUUUUUAGUUCAAAAUAUGUAUGACACAAUAUGGAAAUCAUGCUCGUAAAUCGUUAUUAAUUUAUGAGAAGUUGUUGAAUAUCUAUCUAUCUAUCUAUCUAUAUAUAUAAAAAAUUGUUUUAUCCCUCUUUAGAGAGACACAUCAGAUGCCAGCUAGGAAAUUCGUGUCAUGAGAGCACGACAUGUGUCCGCAAGAAUGAAACUCACUGUAUCAUUUAACAUGUAACAUGAUGGGCUUUAUUUGAAGAAACAGAGUACGUUGUAACAUGAUGGGCUUUAUUCUUCUCGCACGGCUGUAAAGAUAAUUAGGGUUCUUCUUUUUUCCAUAACUCAUGAUCUGCAACAACAAUGAAGUUUCAGGUUGUUGAGUGAUAGAUUCGUCGUGGGCUACAAUAAUUUUAUUUGGGCUGUUACAACAAAAAAGGCCAGCUGCUUACACUCACCUUCUUCAGCAAUGGAUGUCAUCGACAUCUAUGGUUCGUCGUGCUCAUCAAAUUCUCAUUCAUCUCCAAUAAUGGAGUUCUGGAGAGCUAUUCGAGACAAAUCGUGAUGAUGAUUCCCUGGAUCGAGAAGUCUUAGUGUCGUUUCAUCUCCGGUUCUUCUCCCCCGAACCGUUACACGAUUAAUUGAUUGUCUGUCAUUAAGAUAUCGUUAACUCUUUCAACCUACCGCUACCACGAUUUCACAGUCAAUGCAUCUUCCCUUUCUUUAAGGCGGUGCAUCUACAGCUAUAAAAAGGACCAAGCCGACCAGAUCUUGGGAAGAAGAAACUCAAGUAGCAAGCUAAAUAAUCUUUUCCUAACGUGGCAAUAUCUAUAUACUGUAUGUUUUCUUUUCAUACUCAGGUAGGUAGCAUGAUUAUGUCCCAGAUCCUUCCAUGGUUUCUAUCGGGUUUGUCAAAUCUCUUUUUUUAUCUGAAUCAUCUUAUUGACUUAGAUUGAAUAAUAUAAUUUCCAUUUCGUUUCGAUUUGUGUUUAUCAAAUGAGCAAUUUUGUUUGUGUUUGUCUUUCUCUUCCCUCGCCACAAGAUCUUCUGAUGAACACUAUGAAUCGCUUCUAAUCGUUUUUGUCAUAUCUACCAUUGGCUCAACACAAACACAUGGAGAUCGAAACCAUUCAGUAUGAAGCGGACUUCGUCGGAAGUGUAUGGCGAAGAUUCUCUGUGAAGAGAUGGAGUUGAGAUGAGGAUGAGAGCUCCUAUUUCUCUUUGAAGAAAUUUACGGACGGCUCAGACUAUUAAUCAGUUAGCGCCUGUCCUGAUGUGGAAAGAGCUUUUGUUUUUUUAUGCUCGCCGGCCGCGUUAAAGAAGAUGUAUUCUUCGGCACCGUUUGUGACUUUGUGUUAUCCCCGAGUUUGUAACAUGUGUUUUUAAGAAGUGACUUCGUUUUAUUAAGCCUUAUCAACUUCAUGGGUUCCUUUUGGGCGUACGUUGGAAAACAUAUUUGGCUUUGAACGCAGCAGUCGAUUAGUCUCUCUUAAUCUC